CACGUAGGGACCAAGCGUUGUCCGGAUUUAUUGGGCGUAAAGAGCUCGUAGGCGGUUCGGUAAGUCGGGUGUGAAAACUCUGGGCUCAACCCGGAGAGGCCACCCGAUACUGCCGUGACUUGAGUCCGGUAGGGGAGCACGGAAUUCCUGGUGUAGCGGUGAAAUGCGCAGAUAUCAGGAGGAACACCGGUGGCGAAGGCGGUGCUCUGGGCCGGUACUGACGAUGAGGAGCGAAAGCGUGGGUAGCAAACAGG
rnacentral:rRNA from 1 species